UACGGGGGGGGCAAGCGUUGUUCGGAAUUACUGGGCGUAAAGGGCUCGUAGGCGGCCAACUAAGUCGGACGUGAAAUCCCCAGGCUCAACCUGGGAACUGCGUCCGAUACUGGAUGGCUUGAAUUCGGGAGAGGGAUGCAGAAUUCCAGGUGUAGCGGUGAAAUGCGUAGAUAUGCGGAGGAACACCGAUGGCGAAGGCAAUCCCCUGGACCUGUACUGACGCUCAUGCACGAAAGCGUGGGGAGCAAACAGG
rnacentral:rRNA from 1 species